CCUGGCUCCGUAUGAGCGCUAGCUACAGGCUUAACACAUGCAAGUCGAGGGGCAGCAUUUCAGUUUGCUUGCAAACUGGAGAUGGCGACCGGCGCACGGGUGAGUAACACGUAUCCAACCUGCCGAUAACUCGGGGAUAGCCUUUCGAAAGAAAGAUUAAUACCCGAUGGCAUAAUUAGACCGCAUGGUCUUGUUAUUAAAGAAUUUCGGUUAUCGAUGGGGAUGCGUUCCAUUAGGCAGUUGGUGAGGUAACGGCUCACCAAACCUUCGAUGGAUAGGGGUUCUGAGAGGAAGGUCCCCCACAUUGGAACUGAGACACGGUCCAAACUCCUACGGGAGGCAGCAGUGAGGAAUAUUGGUCAAUGGGCGCAGGCCUGAACCAGCCAAGUAGCGUGAAGGAUGACUGCCCUAUGGGUUGUAAACUUCUUUUAUAUGGGAAUAAAGUUUUCCACGUGUGGAAUUUUGUAUGUACCAUAUGAAUAAGGAUCGGCUAACUCCGUGCCAGCAGCCGCGGUAAUACGGAGGAUCCGAGCGUUAUCCGGAUUUAUUGGGUUUAAAGGGAGCGUAGGUGGACAGUUAAGUCAGUUGUGAAAGUUUGCGGCUCAACCGUAAAAUUGCAGUUGAUACUGGCUGUCUUGAGUACAGUAGAGGUGGGCGGAAUUCGUGGUGUAGCGGUGAAAUGCUUAGAUAUCACGAAGAACUCCGAUUGCGAAGGCAGCUCACUGGACUGCAACUGACACUGAUGCUCGAAAGUGUGGGUAUCAAACAGGAUUAGAUACCCUGGUAGUCCACACAGUAAACGAUGAAUACUCGCUGUUUGCGAUAUACAGUAAGCGGCCAAGCGAAAGCAUUAAGUAUUCCACCUGGGGAGUACGCCGGCAACGGUGAAACUCAAAGGAAUUGACGGGGGCCCGCACAAGCGGAGGAACAUGUGGUUUAAUUCGAUGAUACGCGAGGAACCUUACCCGGGCUUAAAUUGCAUUUGAAUAUAUUGGAAACAGUAUAGCCGUAAGGCAAAUGUGAAGGUGCUGCAUGGUUGUCGUCAGCUCGUGCCGUGAGGUGUCGGCUUAAGUGCCAUAACGAGCGCAACCCUUAUCUUUAGUUACUAACAGGUCAUGCUGAGGACUCUAGAGAGACUGCCGUCGUAAGAUGUGAGGAAGGUGGGGAUGACGUCAAAUCAGCACGGCCCUUACGUCCGGGGCUACACACGUGUUACAAUGGGGGGUACAGAAGGCAGCUACCUGGUGACAGGAUGCUAAUCCCAAAAGCCUCUCUCAGUUCGGAUCGAAGUCUGCAACCCGACUUCGUGAAGCUGGAUUCGCUAGUAAUCGCGCAUCAGCCAUGGCGCGGUGAAUACGUUCCCGGGCCUUGUACACACCGCCCG
rnacentral:rRNA from 1 species